UGGCAGUGGAAGUGUGGACAUCUUGGUGGAGAUUCCUGCCUGCUGGAGGCCUUCUGUAGGAGCCAGUUAUGGCAAUUGCCUUGAAGAGCGUUUGGCUUUAUUAUAUUGCCCUCUACCAGCACUGCAGGAGAUUGCAGACUGAUGCUUAGCACAUGGAGGAGUAAGUCUGGCAGGAGAACCACGAGAUCAAUAGAACUUUCUUUGGUCCCAUUUCAAACCCAGCACAGGAUUUAUGAGAUGACAAUUGGCUCCAUCGUGUUCCAGGUGGCUGCUGGUGAUAUUACCAAGGAAAGUGGAGAUGUCAUCAUAGACAUAUCAAACCAAACUUUCAACCUCUAAACAGGUACUUCAGUCACUAUUAUGUGUGGAAAUAGGACUAUUUCCACAUGUAAUAGGAAGCACUAAGAAGGCUAAUGAUGGCUAUAUAACCACCAAAGCAGGUGUGUGAAGCCUGCUGUGCAAAAAUAAAAAUAAUUCAUUUUGUUGCCCAAGAUGAUAUCCAAGUGUCAGUCUCCAGAAUGCUUCAAGAAUGUGGAUUACAGCAGUAUACCUGUUAUCUUCCCAGUGAUUGAAACAGGAGACAACUCUAUUCAAAUUACAGGACUUAGCCAGGAUGUCUGGUUUGCUUACUCAAGUAUCCAAGACAUGAUCCACAGUGUUAAAACUGCUACAUGUGAAGCGAUCUAAGAAGAUCUUUUUCAAAAAUUGAGUGGAAAUACUUGGAAAAAAGAUUCCUAUGUAUCCUUCAACAGUAUGACAAAUUUUCUUGGAAAGUGCUUUUAUAAGAAAGCAGAAAGAUGUUUCAGUUUUCAUUAACAAGAAAAAGUACACAGUGAACAUAGAAGUGUGCUACACGUUAUCUUUCCUUAUCUGUAGCACUUGUACUAAUAAAUCUGCAGGUUAGCAAAAGCAUCUUGAUGAGUUGAGGGAUAUUCACACACUAAUCUGGGUUGCAUCUAGCUGAGUCAGUAAGAAAUAGGAAGAAUACAUAGAAUAUUGUUAGAUGCCAUUUCUGGAGAAGGUGUUAGAGUGGGGAAUGACAGUAAGAGGAUUGUGCAGUUAUUUAAAACUGUUGGAAAUAGAGGUAUGCAUUCAGAAGUUCUUAACAAGCUUACCAGCAAUAAUUAGACAUGCUUGUAGAAGUUGCCAUUCUAAACCAUUUCUGUUCUCAAGAUGAGCCCUCUUCUAUUUAUUUCAAUGAUUUUUCUUAUAAAAAACUUGUUUCUCUGGUC